rnacentral:sRNA from 1 species
AAGCAUCGGUUGCCCUUCUCGUCCACGA